rnacentral:rRNA from 1 species
AGAGCGAACGCUGGCGGCAUGCUUAACACAUGCAAGUCGCACGGUCAGCAAUGGCAGUGGCGGACGGGUGAGUAACGCGUAGGAAUCUAUCCGCGGGUGGGGGACAACCAUGGGAAACUAUGGCUAAUACCGCAUGAUACCUGAGGGUCAAAGGCGCAAGUCGCCUGUGGAGGAGCCUGCGUCUGAUUAGCUUGUUGGUGGGGUAAAGGCUUACCAAGGCGACGAUCAGUAGCUGGUCUGAGAGGAUGACCAGCCAGACUGGGACUGAGAACGGCCCAGACUCCUACGGGAGGCAGCAGUAGGGAAUUUUCCACAAUGGGCGAAAGCCUGAUGGAGCAACGCCGCGUGCAGGAUGAAGGCCUUCGGGUCGUAAACUGCUUUUCUCUGUGAAGAUUAUGACGGUAACAGAAGAAUAAGGAUCUGCUAACUACGUGCCAGCAGCCGC